rnacentral:rRNA from 1 species
UACGAAGGGUGCAAGCGUUACUCGGAAUUACUGGGCGUAAAGCGUGCGUAGGUGGUUUGUUAAGUCUGUUGUGAAAGCCCCCGGGCUCAACCUGGGAAUGGCAAUGGAUACUGGCAGGCUAGAGUGCGGUAGAGGGUAGUGGAAUUCCCGGUGUAGCGGUGAAAUGCGUAGAGAUCCGGAAGAACACCGGUGGCGAAGGCGGUUAGCUGGGCAGUUGCUGACACUGAGGCGCGACAGCGUGGGGAGCAAACAGG